GUCGAACGGUAACAGGAAGCAGCUUGCUGCUUCGCUGACGAGUGGCGGACGGGUGAGUAAUGUCUGGGAAACUGCCUGAUGGAGGGGGAUAACUACUGGAAACGGUAGCUAAUACCGCAUAACGUCGCAAGACCAAAGAGGGGGACCUUCGGGCCUCUUGCCAUCGGAUGUGCCCAGAUGGGAUUAGCUAGUAGGUGGGGUAACGGCUCACCUAGGCGACGAUCCCUAGCUGGUCUGAGAGGAUGACCAGCCACACUGGAACUGAGACACGGUCCAGACUCCUACGGGAGGCAGCAGUGGGGAAUAUUGCACAAUGGGCGCAAGCCUGAUGCAGCCAUGCCGCGUGUAUGAAGAAGGCCUUCGGGUUGUAAAGUACUUUCAGCGGGGAGGAAGGUGUUGAGGUUAAUAACCUCAGCAAUUGACGUUACCCGCAGAAGAAGCACCGGCUAACUCCGUGCCAGCAGCCGCGGUAAUACGGAGGGUGCAAGCGUUAAUCGGAAUUACUGGGCGUAAAGCGCACGCAGGCGGUCUGUCAAGUCGGAUGUGAAAUCCCCGGGCUCAACCUGGGAACUGCAUUCGAAACUGGCAGGCUAGAGUCUUGUAGAGGGGGGUAGAAUUCCAGGUGUAGCGGUGAAAUGCGUAGAGAUCUGGAGGAAUACCGGUGGCGGA
rnacentral:rRNA from 1 species